rnacentral:rRNA from 1 species
GCCCCUUAUGAUUUGGGCUACACACGUGCUACAUGGACAAUACAAUAGGCAGCGAAACCGCGAGGUCAAGCAAAUCCCAUAAAGUUGUUCUCAGUUCGGAUUGUAGUCUGCAACUCGACUACAUGAAGCUGGAAUCGCUAGUAAUCGUAGAUCAGCAUGCUACGGUGAAUACGUUCCCGGGUCUUGUACACACCGCCCGUCACACCACGAGAGUUUGUAACACCCGAAGCCGGUGGAGUAACCUUUUAGGAGCUAGCCGUCGAAGGUGGGACAAAUGAUUGGGGUGAAGUCGUAACAAGGUAGCCGUAUCGGAAGGUGCGGUUGGAUCACCU